GGCCCCCUUUUUGGGCCAAUUUUGCUGAAAAUUUUGGCCUUUAAACCAAUCCCGUUUUUGUAUACACAGGAUGUAGAUUAGUGUAUAUCUGAUGUAUACAGCCCUUUUUCUCGCUUUCCGAGACCUGUUUCAGCUUUCAAUUUCUUCGGACAUUGGUGGGGAUAACUCAAGUAUGGGUAUUGUUGGAUUUGAUCCAACGAAAUAACGCAAGGAAAACAAAGUCAUAUUGGACUCAUCCCGAAAUAGAGUUCAUGCAAAGAGAAAGGACAACAAGGAUUAGGAAAACGAAUUUAUUCAUUAGAUGAACAAUUAAACAGUAGGCAUGACUAACUAAACAAUCACUUUGACUAAAGAAGCACAUAAGAUAGUUAAAGGGAACACAAAUCACGGCAAACCAAAGUUGUCAUAACUAAUGGAUUAUAAAGAAACUGGGCAGCUAACAAAUUAUAGAUUAUAUGACAAAGAGCUACAUUUAGGUCAAUCAUAGGAGACCAAUCUCUUAGGAUGGGAGCACUAGUUUAGAACAAAUCAAAACAAACUAAACACCCAAAUUAUCAUGGUAAACAAAGCACUUGUACAACUCUAAAAUUUUAGUAAAAGAAAAGAACACAUACCACCAUCAAACCAAGGAACUUGAUUAUUACAAUAACAUUAUCAUGAUUUCUUAACCAUUUAUGUAAAACAGGGAAAGUGGGUAAAGAUUUGAACAAAAAAUAGACCAUAGACGUAAUUUUCCAGUAAACAAAUUAAAUGCAGGUUUAGCUAUUAACUCUAGGAUUGUUGUUAUAAAUAAAUGAAAUACAAAAAUUAAACGGAUACACCAUUGUGAGAACUAUUAUUGUAAUCUAUCAUCCUAGUCUUUCAAAGAUAAAAAAUGAUUUGUAGAACAAGAAAAAACACAAUUAUCUUAACAAAGUCAAUUUUAUUGGAAAGUUACUGACUUAAUGAAACCCAAAAUAGUCGAACACCACAUGACACUUAACCGUUGUACUCAAGCCACGAUAAAUAUAUUACACAAGCGCCCAAUCGAUUUUACGUAAAAGCGAACUAUAUUCGACAAGGUUAAAUUUCAGCAAAGCCAUGACCGAUACACAAAAAUAUGAAUUAAGAGGGGUUAGAACUAAACAAGUACUAAAUCGAGGCUUAAUCAUAUACCAAAUGAAAUUUAAACCUCCAUGAAUCUUUAUGAACGAACCACCACAUAUUCAUAUCUAAACCAAGUCACUCUUAAAAACAAACAGUAAACGACCUGAAACCUAGAAGGGAUCGAAAUAACUAACUACGAGCAAUCAAAUUUAAGAAGAAACACGUAAAAGCUAACAAAUGCAUUGAAUUCGAAUGACAUGUGAAGGAACUUGCUCAUACAGUAUUAGCCAAAAGAAACUGAAUUGAAGCAGUAGUUAAUAUGAAACCAAACGACAAAUAAACAUUCUUUGAUCAAGCAUAAAAGAGAAGAGGAGAUUUGAUCAAUAGCUACACCUAUUAAACAACCAAGAUAUUUGUUCAACAAGACCUAGAUUUGAUGGCAAAGACAUAUCAACAUAAGAAAAUAGCAAAAAUCCAUAAGAAAGCAUCAAACAAUUGAAACAAAUUUUAUCACAUAAUAGAGAUUGAAACAAACAGAAUAUCAAAUGUAAUGGAUAUUACCUUUGUUGAGGCAGCGAGACUAGGACAAACGAGCUGAGAGCAGCGACUCUUCUACCACGAAAUCUCAAUGUGAACAGCAAGCCAAGAGAAUCGGGACUUAGAAUCGAAGGAUUAAAUGCGAAAUUCUAAAGUGUAAAGUGCUUAUUUGCUGAAAACUCAAACUUCGAAAAAAAAAGAACUCCCUCACAGUGAUUAAAAUAAGACGAUCUGGGAGCAGCGAUUCUUCUAUCACGAAAUCUCAAUAUGAACAGCAAGCCAAGAGAAUCGGAACUUAGAAUCGAAGGAUUAAAUGCGAAAUUCUAAAGUGUAAAGUGCUUAUUUGCUGAAAACUCAAACUUCGAAAAAAAAAGAACUCCCUCACAGUGAUUAAAAUAGAUGGAUAUAUAGAUGGAAAUUAGGGGGGAAAUCGCGUGAAAAAUUGAAUUCCAAAUUUGAAUUCAUUCUGCCCCUUUUCAAGACAACAGUAGAAAGCUUUGAAAAAAUUCCUUAAAAUGGGGGAAAGGGGACGUGAGGGUGAUGGGUAUGCAGGGUAUGGGUUCUGGCAAGGUAGGAGACGCAAUUUCCGGGUUGAUUUAGCGUGAAGAAGACGAAGGCAAGUAUGGGGUGGGGUCGCUGUCCGAGUUUCUGGGUUUCUGCGUUUGCGCGUGAAGAAGAACAAAGCAAAGUGGGGUAGGUAUUUC
rnacentral:lncRNA from 1 species